AGUGAACGCUGGCGGUAGGCCUAACACAUGCAAGUCGAACGGCAGCACAGUAAGAGCUUGCUCUUACGGGUGGCGAGUGGCGGACGGGUGUGGAAUACAUCGGAAUCUACUUUUUCGUGGGGGAUAACGUAGGGAAACUUACGCUAAUACCGCAUACGACCUACGGGUGAAAGCAGGGGAUCUUCGGACCUUGCGCGAUUGAAUGAGCCGAUGUCGGAUUAGCUAGUUGGCGGGGUAAAGGCCCACCAAGGCGACGAUCCGUAGCUGGUCUGAGAGGAUGAUCAGCCACACUGGAACUGAGACACGGUCCAGACUCCUACGGGAGGCAGCAGUGGGGAAUAUUGGACAAUGGGCGCAAGCCUGAUCCAGCCAUACCGCGUGGGUGAAGAAGGCCUUCGGGUUGUAAAGCCCUUUUGUUGGGAAAGAAGAGCAGCAGGUUAAUACCCCGCUGUUCUGACGGUACCCAAAGAUUAAGCACCGGCUAACUUCGUG
rnacentral:rRNA from 1 species